rnacentral:rRNA from 1 species
CAAAGGAAUUGACGGGGACCCGCACAAGCGGUGGAUGAUGUGGUUUAAUUCGAUGCAACGCGAAAACCUUACCCACCUUUGACAUGUACGGAAACCUUUAGAGAUAGAGGCGUGCUCGAAAGAGAGCCGUAACACAGGUGCUGCAUGGCUGUCGUCAGCUCGUGUCGUGAGAUGUUGGGUUAAGUCCCGCAACGAGCGCAACCCUUGUCAUUAGUUGCUACAUUCAGUUGGGCACUCUAAGGUGACUGCCGGCUAAAAGUCGGAGGAAGGUGGGGAUGACGUCAAAUCAUCAUGCCCCUUAUGACCUGGGCUACACACGUGCUACAAUGGUCGGUACAAAGGGUUGCCAAGCCGCGAGGUGGAGCUAAUCCCAUAAAACCGAUCGUAGUCCGGAUCGGAGUCUGCAACUCGACUCCGUGAAGUCGGAAUCGCUAGUAAUCGUGGAUCAGAACGCCACGGUGAAUACGUUCCCGGGCCUU